UACGUAGGUGGCGAGCGUUGUCCGGAUUUAUUGGGUUUAAAGGGUGCGUAGGCGGCUUAUUAAGUCAGGGGUGAAAGACGGUGGCUCAACCAUCGCAGUGCCUUUGAUACUGAUGAGCUUGAAUACACUAGAGGUAGGCGGAAUGUGACAAGUAGCGGUGAAAUGCAUAGAUAUGUCACAGAACACCGAUUGCGAAGGCAGCUUACUAUGGUGUGAUUGACGCUGAGGCACGAAAGCGUGGGGAUCAAACAGG
rnacentral:rRNA from 1 species